CCUACGGGAGGCAGCAGUGAGGAAUAUUGGUCAAUGGACGAGAGUCUGAACCAGCCAAGUAGCGUGAAGGAUGACUGCCCUAUGGGUUGUAAACUUCUUUUAUAAAGGAAUAAAACGAGGCACGUGUGCCUUUUUGCAUGUACUUUAUGAAUAAGGAUCGGCUAACUCCGUGCCAGCAGCCGCGGUAAUACGGAGGAUCCGAGCGUUAUCCGGAUUUAUUGGGUUUAAAGGGAGCGUAGAUGGGUUGUUAAGUCAGUUGUGAAAGUUUGCGGCUCAACCGUAAAAUUGCAAUUGAUACUGGCAGUCGUGAGUACAGUUGAGGUAGGCGGAAUUCGUGGUGUAGCGGUGAAAUGCUUAGAUAUCACGAAGAACCCCGAUUGCGAAGGCAGCUUACUAAACUGUGACUGACAUUGAUGCACGAAAGUGUGGGUAUCAAACAGGAUUAGAUACCCGAGUAGUC
rnacentral:rRNA from 1 species